CCUACGGGAGGCAGCAGUGGGGAAUAUUGGUCAAUGGGGGAAACCCUGAACCAGCGACGCCGCGUGAGGGAAGACGUUUGUCUGUAUGUAAACCCCUAUUUGUAGGGAAGAAAAUGACGGUAUCUGACGAAUAAGCACCGGCUAACUACGUGCCAGCAGCCGCGGUACUACGAAGGGGGCAAGCGUUAGUCGGAUUCACUGGGCGUAAAGGGAGCGUAGGCGGGAUAGCAAGUCAGAUGUGAAAUCUUAUGGCCUAACCAUAGAACUGCAUUCGAAACUGUUAUACUAGAGUACGGGAGAGGUAGGCGGAAUUCUUGGUGUAGCGGUAAAAUACGUAGAGAUCAAGAGGAACACCCAUUGCGAAGGCGACUUGCUAGAACAUAACUGACGCUGAUGCGCGAAAGCGUGGGGAGCAAACAGGAUUAGAUACCCGAGUAGUC
rnacentral:rRNA from 1 species